UACGUAGGGCGCAAGCGUUAUCCGGAAUUAUUGGGCGUAAAGAGCUCGUAGGCGGUUUGUCGCGUCUGCCGUGAAAGUCCGGGGCUCAACCCCGGAUCUGCGAGUGGGUGACGGGCAGACUAGAGUGUGGUAGGGGAGACUGGAAUUCCUGGUGUAGCGGUGAAAUGCGCAGAUAUCAGGAGGAACACCGAUGGCGAAGGCAGGUCUCUGGGCCACUACUGACGCUGAGAAGCGAAAGCAUGGGGAGCGAACAGG
rnacentral:rRNA from 1 species